GGUGCAAUUCCAGGUAAUCGCAAGACUAAACACCACGUCUAAUCUAUUAAUUACUACUCUAAUGUUUCAAAGAUUAGAGCACUUGAUGCAAGCGGGAAUCUAAUAAAUAACUUGAAUGUAAAUAAAAGUAAUUAGAGAACUCAGGAGUUAUGAGUUGAAGAACCUGGAGAACGAUGAAGAACGAACUAGAUGCUGCAAAAGUACAAUGUUGAGGAAGAUCCGACAGAUCCGACUCCUCCUCCGCUCUCCUCUUCUCUCUCCCUAUUUUCUAGAUUACAACUAGAACUAACUAGAACUAGAACUAGAGGAACUAGAACUAGAACUAGAUGAACUAGAACUAGAUCUAGACGAACUAGAGGUAGAACUAGAAGAACUAGAGGGAUCCUCUCUACUUGGAUGAAGAAUUGAAACCCUAACUUUGAUUCUGUAGAAGAGGUAUGAUCUCCAGGGGCCAGGGGGGUCUGGUUUUAUAGUCCCUUCAAGUGAAUCUGGGCCGUCGGAUCAAACCGACAUUGAUCGCACGGUUUUCCUUGAUCCUUUAGGUCGGUGGAGCUUGGUCCGCAAAGUUGGACGUGUUUGACCACAACUCCUGGGCGGGCGCCCAAGGGGGGUGGGCGGGCGCCCUACCCCCGGGCCCGUUCGCCUUCCCGUUCGUUCCCGUGGCUUCUGGAGUCUUCUAGAUGACGUAAAAUUGUGCGGCACGUUAAUAUCUCUAUGUAAACCCGACGUGUGGGCCUUUCUUCCGUAUUUCCUGAUAACCCCCUGCAGAAACAGACAAACACCAAAACUCGUGGAAUUCUGUCAGAUAAAACCCUAAGUCUAGGUGUUGGUUGCAUUUGGAUCCUUUUCUAUGAUUAAUUGAUGGUUAAAUAUGAACAUUAAGGACCGUCAACAAGCUCCCCCAAGCUUAACCUUUGCUCGUCCCUGAGCAAAGAUGAACUCAAGAGUUUCUGCAGUGGUUUCAUGCCUUAAAAAUACACAUUCGUUCAAACAAGAUCUCAUCUCUGGGUUAGGGUAAACUGUUAAGAUUUAAAACUUACUCAUUUUACCUUCCACCAUGGGGCUUGCAACCGUCACUUGUGUCUUGAGCAGUUAAAAGAUAGAACGGUCUAGUCAAGCACCAUGUCUCUUGUUCUUCGAUUAACUAUAGCUCUGGAGUUUUUGCAGAUUUUCGAAUAAAACUCAGAGAUUCCUUGUAUGACUCUCUCUAGUCUCUCAUUUGUGGUAUUUCUGGAUCCUUACCAAGGCAGUAAAGGUGUAUGCCUUCUCUCCAAGUAUGUGGUAUUUGUGGUAUGAGGCAUAGUGGCAUUGCCUUCUCUCUCACCCUACUCUAAUAAGGUUUUGAUAUCUGGAGCUCAUAGGUGGGAGACAGCUAAUACAUACUUACAAGACAUUUAUUGCAUAGUCAAACCAUGGAUCCAGAAGAACAAGUCAAUAAGUCAAAUCAAGAUGUGCAUGUGUGGCGAAUGAAUGGUGUAUGGUAAUGAUGGUGAUAACAACGGUGAAAGUCUAAUUCUACUUAUGCUCUUUUGAGGAGGUACGUACCUUUCUUGCCCUUUUGAAACUUUUUGAGGAGAAUGAGAUGCUCUAUAUUUUCUUUUUUUUCUCUCUUUUUUUUCUUUUCUCUCAGUUGGGUAUCUUGUACCCCUAAUUCUACUGUCGGACACUUGUCCAUUUUUACCUCUCGUCUCACUUUUUCUUUUCUUUCGAGGUUCCGGGCACUUGCCCCUUUUUAUUUCCUCGUAUAUAUAUUUUUUUUAGAGCACUCAUCUCCUGAAAUAAUAUAGCAAGUGGUAGUAACCAAGAUAACUUGAGCAUUUUUUUUCACAGGGAAAAACAGAAAUAGGAGAAUGUUUUUGGCUAUUCUCUCCCGGAUUAGGAGUAGAAUAUUUUUGGGUGGUUCUGGAGAUGGAAAUGGAUGGAUAUAUGUGGAUGGUACUUCUGGAGUAGAAGUAGCAUGUGUGAGUGAACGUGCAAGUGAAUCUUUAUUUAACCGCAUGACAAGCUCCUAAGGGUCUACACAGCUUGACCACACUCAAUGCUCAUAAGCAGUAAAAAGUAAAUGUGUGGCUCAAAGUCUAGCAAGCAUGUAUAUAUGGCUGUGGUAGGAAUUUAAACUCUCAUCAUACAGGAACUCAUCAUGUGAUAUUUUAAAGAUUUUCAAAGAUAAAAUUCUCCAGAAUUCUAGCAUCUCUAGGAACAGAUAAACAGCAGCUCAACCUUCCCAUAUCGUAUCCGUUAACGACUUAGACUUUAGAUCAAGUACUCUCCCCACAAGUUCAGGUUUAGAGCAAAUCUUAAUUAAUACCAGUCAUGCCUAAACUUGAGAGAGAUUUCAAUUUUGAGAACUAGUCAUGGCAGAGCAACUAUUCAUCAUUUCCAUGUGAGAGCUUAUCAUGAGGGUUCAAAGCAAACUUUAUUUAUUUAUUUAUUUAGCAAACUAAGCAAAGAUAUAUAUAAGCACAAAAUCUUUAUUUGGGUUUCUAUGAUUAUGCAUUAUUUUAUUAUUAGAGUAAAGUAUAAACGUGAGUAGAAUACUUAGCUGGAUAAAUGGGGGUGCUCUCCCCCAAGCUAGAUUUUGACGUAGUUUCUUCUAAUGUAGCUAGCAAGUGGUGGAGGUGUAUUUGAAUGUCGGCAGCACCCUGACAGUGAUUAGGAUGUCCUCCGUCUGCUAGUCUUCUUUGAUCCUUGAAUUCUGUGGAGCUCAAAUAGACAACAAAGCUUUGUGGAACUAGUUAAGUGUUAGCAUAAAUAUCUAGCCUUUAUCAUGUUGAGCCUCCUCAAUAAAUGUUACUCUUUAGUAGGAUCAUAAUUUUAUUUUUAUAAUUUUAUUUUUAUAGGACAGGAAUAUAUUUAUUUUAUUUUUACGCCACCACAGUAAAUGUACUUAUGGGUUUUAUGCCAUGAGCAUACUCACAUGGGGCUUACUAUUUUUAACAUUUUUAUUUUCUUUUCAAGAUGAUAUGAACUGAUUAACUAAGCAAACUAUUUUAAAUAAUUGAAGGGAAAAAGAUAACUACCAAGUUUACCUCUUGGCAAGGCGUUCGGAGUUUUUAAGUCCUUCGAACGGGACUCUCCGUAUUCUCAAUCGUCCUAAGAUUCAGUGGAUGGCGUAGUCGGUGGUUCAGGCAGCGCCUCCUCUUCGUGUAUAAUUAUCUUUUUUCUCCACACCUGACUCGAUGGUACGGUCUCCUCAGGACAGUUCUGUUCAAGUUAUAUGUCUUCAGACCUUACAACUUCUCCAUCAUAGUCUACCCAUCCGUCCUUGAUGAUUUUGCCUUCUCUGGUUGCGGUUGCGCCGUCUCCUUCUUGUCCCGACCUGCUUAGAGUCUUCAACUAUAUAGUUAGGGUCAGUAAAAUAGCGGCGUACCUUCUCAGAGGUGAAGUGCAUGUGGACUUCUCGGGUUCCAAUGUAGAUGAUUGCUUUAACGGUGCUGAGGAACGGUCUCCUAAGGAUGAUGGAGGAUCAUACUUGUCUUCUCCCAUGUCAAUAACCUUUCAGAAUGUCUGAUCUGUCAUCUGGAGCUGAAUGUAUGUUGGUUGUAGGGACAUGGUUCCAUGCAGGAGCUGAUAAGUGACUGCGGCCAUUAUGUUGACGUUAGAUCCGGUGUCGUAGAGUGUCUUCUGAAAAGAAUAUCCGUUGAUUGUGCACUCGAUGCUUGGGACACCAGGGUCAUCCUUCUUGAUCAAGAAAGGUGACUUGAGUUGACAAUCUUGAUCUCCUUGAGCUGCAGUGACCAUCUUAGCUGACUCGGUACACAUUUGCUUAUUCUUGUUCCUCCUGUUGGUCCUCUUCCUUGGUUCAUGUUGGGAUUGCUCUGAGAUUUGUGUAGUCUUAUUCUUGAAGGUAAAUGUCUCCUUCCUUCCCUUGAUGUAGACACUGAUCUUGGCAGCACUAGCGUGGAUGACAGCUCCCGAGGUGUUCAGGAAUGGCCACCCUAGGAUGACGGGUGCCCUCUCAUCAGUAUCAGUCUCUAUCACCACGAAGUCUGCUGGAGCGUAUAAGGUACCAACUCGGACACAAAGGUUCUUCAAUAUUCUCUUUUGGAAACUUAGCGUCCGAUCUGCAAGCUGCAAACACAUGGUUGUCUCUAGUAAAGGAAGUGUAAAAUUUUUUUCAUAGAGUACCCUGGGCCUAAUGUUGACGCUGGAGCCAAAUUCGCAGAGUGCUUCUAGGAAGUCCACCAUGCCGAUGGAGAUCGGGAUGACGGGGUGUCCUAGAUUGUCUCUCUUGACCGGCAGAAGUUCAGUAAUUACUUCCACAACAGGGUUACUCUAGAAGUUACGUCCUUAAGCAUCUCAGGGCAGUGAUUGCCUAAGUGUCCAGUCUCUCCAGUGUGUUUGUGCUCGUAGAUCUACGUUCUUCACUUGGUGGAGUCUGGGAGUUAUAAAAGUCCUUCAUAUUUUGCUCGAAAUGUACCUGCUCAUAGAGACAAGGCAGAGAACAAGUGCAUGGGCCCUGUUGGUGGAAAACACCAACAGAACCAAAAGUGUAUUUGUUCUUCUCUAACCUUAAGCAUAGUGAGCAAGACAAAGUUGAUGGAUAAUAAGAUCAUGACUGUAGCAUUUAAAAUAUUUGUCAAAUCAGAUUACUCAACCUAAAAGAAAGAUAAUCUAUCUAUAUUUAUGUUGUUUUUCUUUCAUAAUAUAUAUCUUCCAGAGAUUGAGUGUGCAACAUUUUAGCUCAUAUGAUUAGGAGUGUGGGAUCACAAAGGUGGAAGGACUAAACAUAUUGAAUCGAUUGGGUUGGUGAAUCUAGAGUUGUAAAUCAUACAUGUUUGUCUCUUUUAUUCAUGUGAACGCCAGAACCAAGGAGAAGCUUAUAAAAGUGAUAGUCAAGUACCUUAAGAUGUUACCUUACUUGAAGAAUGAUGGUACGAUAUCUCCUUGUGGAAGCUUUCUUUUCUCAGCGGUUGUGCGUCGUGUUUGUGGCACCAUCCAUGGAUCAUCUCUUGUGAGCUAUGCCUUCCUUGUGUAAAUUGUUAAACUUUAUGUGCCUCUCUCUUUGUCUCCAAUGUGAGUUUGUCUCAGGACUUCCCAGGUCGAUAGUGAAAGUUUUCCUACAGGGGUUAGUCCAACAAAAUAUCCAAUAUCUACUAUAGCAUAUUAUUGGCUCAAAAACAACCUAGACACCAUGUCUAAUUUGAUUUAGGAGGGCAUUUUAACUUAGGCAUCAUACUUAAUUUAAACUCCCUUGGAAGUAAGAUCAUCAGCCCUAAACUAAGCACCAUGCUUAAUUAAGAGAUAAAUGAAACUACUCCAAACCUAGACAUAUACUAAAGCAAGUAAAGGUAGCAUGAGAGCAUUUAUAGAGAUCUACUCAAGUGGAGAUGAAGUAGUGUGAUUACUAUUUAACAAAUUGAGCAUGUCUCAAAGGUAGGGACAACCAACAUAGCAACAUGGCAAAGGAUGUUUUUAUGUAAAGUACUCCCCCAAGCUUGAAUUUUGCAAAAUUCAAGUUUGGAUGAAUUUAGUUCAAUGUUGUAUGAUGAUUGGUUGUACAUACCUUGUGCUUGUCAUUCAUCCGAUCUUCUUGCUCCAAUCCUAGAAAGGUUAGUGACAAGAAUACCCGAAGGAAUUUUUUUUACAAUUAUCCAUAUAUGCUCAAUACACAAGGUAGUGUUGCAAAUAAUUCAAAGCUCAUGUUACGAUCUGAUCAGUGCUUAUUUUAGGACACUAAGCUUGUCCUUGGGAAACCAUUAAUUUAUGUCAGCGAAGUGGUUUCCCCUCCAACGCUGACCUAUAUCAAGAUCAACUCAACGAGAUCUACAAUAUUUAAUAUAGACAUAUGCAUCGACAACCACCCUUUUAAAGUUUUUAUAAAUAUAAAGGAUGAGGGGGUUGGAGAUCUCCAAUGUGGUGAUGUUGGAGAGACCAAUGGAUUGUGAAGAUGUUGCAUAUGAGCAUGGAGUAAAUGAAGUGGCUAUGAAAUAAAUUCCAUGCUCAUUAAUGCUUAGAGUGAAAUCCAUGUGGUACGGUGAAAAUGAUAAGGUGAGUGUGGUAAAAAAGGAAAAGAAAAAAGGAUACACGGACGACUUGGUUCGAAACUAGCACAGCUACCGUUCCUCGGCAACGGCGCCAGAAAGCUUGUUGGGUAUUUUAAACGCAAACAGAAAAAUCCGCAAGCGCACGGAUACCGAUGUAGCUUUCACCCGGGAGUAUUCCAGAGUAUCGAUUUUCCACAGAGAACGUGAGUGUACUAAUUAAGAUCCAAGAUCGCCCAAGGAUAACUAUAUAAUUAUUUUUGGUGGGAAGAGAGGAAGUUUCCUGAGAGUUCUCUAGUUGAUCUAAGAAUCAAGAAUUACUUCAAGAUUAUCUAUAUCGGGACAUCAGAGCACUAACCACAGAAAGAGAUGAGAAGGGGGCUAGGAAGGUCUGACUACGGUCCUACAAACACCAAUCCGAACGUGGUGGAAUACGUCGACCGUUAGGGCUGUCACUACCCUAAGGCUACCACAACAAUCCGUGGGAUUGGGUGCAAUUCCAGGUAAUCGCAAGACUAAACACCACGUCUAAUCUAUUAAUUACUACUCUAAUGUUUCAAAGAUUAGAGCACUUGAUGCAAGCGGGAAUCUAAUAAAUAACUUGAAUGUAAAUAAAAGUAAUUAGAGAACUCAGGAGUUAUGAGUUGAAGAACCUGGAGAACGAUGAAGAACGAACUAGAUGCUGCAAAAGUACAAUGUUGAGGAAGAUCCGACAGAUCCGACUCCUCCUCCGCUCUCCUCUUCUCUCUCCCUAUUUUCUAGAUUACAACUAGAACUAACUAGAACUAGAACUAGAGGAACUAGAACUAGAACUAGAUGAACUAGAACUAGAUCUAGACGAACUAGAGGUAGAACUAGAAGAACUAGAGGGAUCCUCUCUACUUGGAUGAAGAAUUGAAACCCUAACUUUGAUUCUGUAGAAGAGGUAUGAUCUCCAGGGGCCAGGGGGGUCUGGUUUUAUAGUCCCUUCAAGUGAAUCUAGGCCGUCGGAUCAAACCGACAUUGAUCGCACGGUUUUCCUUGAUCCUUUAGGUCGGUGGAGCUUGGUCCGCAAAGUUGGACGUGUUUGACCACAACUCCUGGGCGGGCGCCCAAGGGGGGUGGGCGGGCGCCCUGCCCCCGGGCCCGUUCGCCUUCCCGUUCGUUCCCGUGGCUUCUGGAGUCUUCUAGAUGACGUAAAAUUGCGCGGCACGUUAAUAUCUCUAUGUAAACCCGACGUGUGGGCCUUUCUUCCGUAUUUCCUGAUAACCCCCUGCAGAAACAGACAAACACCAAAACUCGUGGAAUUCUGUCAGAUAAAAC
rnacentral:lncRNA from 1 species